rnacentral:rRNA from 1 species
UACAGGGGGUGCAAACGUUGCUCGGAAUCAUUGGGCGUAAAGCGCACGUAGGCGGUUCGUUAUGUCGGAUGUGAAAGCCCUUGGCUUAACCGAGGAAGUGCAUCCGAAACUGGCGAGCUAGAGUACGAAAGUGGAUGCGGAAUUCCCGGUGUAGAGGUGAAAUUCGUAGAUAUCGGGAGGAACACCGGGUGGCGAAGGCGGCGAUCUGGGGUCGAUACUGACGCUGAGGUGCGAAAGCGUGGG